rnacentral:snoRNA from 1 species
AUCCUUUUGUAGUUCAUGAGCGUGAUGAUUGGGUGUUCACGCGGCUGUGUGACAUGUGCCACCCACAAACCUUGUUACGACGUGGGCACAUUACCCGUCUGACG